rnacentral:rRNA from 1 species
CCCUUAGAUGUUCUGGGCUGCACGCGCGCUACACUGACGCACGCAACAGGUGCCUGCUCCGAGAGGACUGGGUAAUCAUUUGAGUGUGCGUCGUGAUGGGGAUAGAAUAUUGUAAUUAUUAAUCUUCAACGAGGAAUUCCUAGUAAGCGCGAGUCAUCAGCUCGUGCUGAUUACGUCCCUGCCCUUUGUACACACCGCCCGUCGCUCCUACCGAUUGAGUGUUCCGGUGAAUAAUUCGGACUGCAGCAGCGUGGGGACUCCUCAUGCUGCAGCGGAAAGUUUGGUGAACCUUAACACUUAGAGGAAGGAGAAGUCGUAACA